rnacentral:tRNA from 1 species
GCCGGGGUGUUGGAAUGGCAGACAAUCCAGUCUCAAAAACUGGUGGGGGCAACCCCAUGAGGGUUCAAGUCCCUCCCCCGGCA